CCCAGAAGGGGACCCCAGCUACAUGGCUGCUUCCACAACUAAGACCCAGCAGGCUGAGUGUUGGCAGUAGCAGUAGGAGAUGCCAGUUCCCUGCCUCAGAGGGGCUAUGGAAGUCAGAGGGUGAGGCCUACCCAGGAAGCAGGGGUCAGCUGCUUCUCCUUGGCAGACUCCUUGCGAGCUGAGAAAAGAGGCUGAUGUCAGAGACACGCCAAAGCAGUGCACCAAAAUGAGCCUCCCCGCUGCUUCCCAGCACACCUUCAGCCUUCUCUUUAAGGUGCUGGUGCUGAUCCAGGAGGCUGACGUUGGACUGUGGGCCCAGAGGGAUGUCGUCCUCAUCUCCCCGGGGCUCGCUGCCGCUGUCCUGCAGCUCCUCCUCCGCAGCUCCUUUGCGCCUUCGUUGCAAUAGCUUCUGGAGCUGAGGUUCCACCAGCGCCCCUCAGAGCCAAGCCCAAGACAAAGCGGAGUAUCGGGCCCAGGGGGCUUGCGUCAGAAUCUUGGCUUUUGGGAGAGGGUCCUGUGCCACGCGACAUGGAGGUGCCCUACCCCUCAGAUCAGACUGGCAGUCCCUGGUUUGCCUAGGGGCCACGGUCCCAACUACUGACAGCUCACUCCACUGGAUGCCACCCUCCCUCCCACACCCUCAUUUCUCUUCUGACCCGAGGCCCUCACCAACAGUUGCCGCCGCUGUCGCAAAGGCACGUAAGGCACGUAGUCUUCGUCGUCCUCAUCCUCCGCCUCGGAGCGGCUUCCUGUGGCAGUCGCUUCAUCUGUGCGAACACGCUACAGAUACACAUGAAUCAGGCCCAGGCCCCCGCUUUCACAGCUGCUCGCCACCCGCACCGACCCCUACCUCGCUCCCACCUUCCGUUCGGGUUCCGAGUCCUCCAUCCUUUGCUGUACGCAGGCGCGCUACGGUAAAACCCCGCCUCAAUUUUUGCGUGAGAUCCAAUCAGAUGUGAAGAAGCGGAAGGUCGGCACCUAGCAACGACCUCUGAGUGCCGGAUCGCGCAGAGGGACAAACUUUCCCGAGACCCUGUCAGGCAGUGCUGCGUCAAAGUACCCUUGGGCGGCUGCGCAUUUGUUGCCAGGGGCGAGGGCGAAGCGUCAUACAAUGCAUUAUGGGACGCUGGAGGACUUGGAGCAUGCGCUAAAAGCUCAAACGAAGCCUGGUGGAAGGUCCCACGAGUGGAGAUACAGAAGAGACCCGCCUACCGGAGGCCUAGCUUCGCCCAUAGCCUGACGUCAUCUGGCACGUUCCGGGACUGGGCCAACUGGGACCCCACCGGGGACUCCAUCCCGGGCACGGGGCGCGGGUAACGAAUCAACUUGCACUGCAGCUCUGACUGGCGUCCUUAUCUAUGUGACAACACGUAUGUUCAGAGUGGUGAGGGAUAAAUAAAAUACUGAUGACAGUG